rnacentral:rRNA from 1 species
UAGGGAAUCUUCGGCAAUGGACGAAAGUCUGACCGAGCAACGCCGCGUGAGUGAAGAAGGUUUUCGGAUCGUAAAACUCUGUUGUUAGAGAAGAACAAGGACGUUAGUAACUGAACGUCCCCUGACGGUAUCUAACCAGAAAGCCACGGCUAACUACGUGCCAGCAGCCGCGGUAAUACGUAGGUGGCAAGCGUUGUCCGGAUUUAUUGGGCGUAAAGCGAGCGCAGGCGGUUUCUUAAGUCUGAUGUGAAAGCCCCCGGCUCAACCGGGGAGGGUCAUUGGAAACUGGGAGACUUGAGUGCAGAAGAGGGGAGUGGAAUUCCAGUUGUAGCGGUGAAAUGCGUAGAUAUAUGGAGGAACACCAGUGGCGAAGGCGGCUCGCAGGUCUGUAACUGACGCUGAGGCUCGAAAGCGUGGGGAGCAAACAGG